rnacentral:rRNA from 1 species
AUACGGAGGGUGCAAGCGUUAAUCGGAAUUACUGGGCGUAAAGCGCGCGUAGGCGGCUCGAUAAGUCGGAUGUGAAAGCCCCGGGCUCAACCUGGGAACUGCAUUCGAAACUGCCGAGCUAGAGUUUGAUAGAGGAGAGUGGAAUUCCACAUGUAGCGGUGAAAUGCGUAGAUAUGUGGAGGAACACCAGUGGCGAAGGCGGCUCUCUGGAUCAAAACUGACGCUGAGGUGCGAAAGCGUGGGUAGCAAACAGGAUUAGAAACCCCAGUAGUCC